UGCAUCUUGGACUGUCCCUUUGGGGUAUUAUCCUGCUUGGUGGUUUUACCUCUCACUUGAUUACCGAGAGUAAGGAUGCAAGGAAUCUGUGAAGCAGCAAAGCUACCUUUCAUUUUCCAAAGAGACAACCUCAAAAUAUUCUGAGAAUCUGCCCUGAGGGAAGGAAAUCUCCAAACCUCCUAUUAAGAUACCACAGCAGCACCUCAUUUUAGUGAGUGCCCAGGAGUGGGACCAGUCACAGUGGAAACCACAAGGGAGAUUUGUGUAGAUCGGAUGGGAAAUCACUGGAGGCCCUCAGGACUGGUCAGCAGGAUCUUUGCUGCAGCCAGGAAUAGAGUUUCCCUGUAAGUUGUUUGGCGAAAGUGUGUGGGGCAGGUUUGUCUCAGUGCCUUACCCAUCCUUCUGCAGUCUGGUCUUCACCUCUAAAAUGUGAGUGAUCAUUGUAAAGUUACCUAAAGUUACCUAAAAUGAGGUAACCCAGGCUUGAGUGUUGU
rnacentral:lncRNA from 1 species